AGUGAACGCUGGCGGUAGGCCUAACACAUGCAAGUCGAACGGCAGCACAGUAAGAGCUUGCUCUUACGGGUGGCGAGUGGCGGACGGGUGAGGCAUACAUCGCAAUCUACUUUUUCGUGGGGGAUAACGUAGGGAAACUUCCGCUACUACCGCAUACGUCCUACGGGUGAAAGCAGGGGAUCUUCGGACCUUUGCCGAUAGAAUUAGACGAUGUCGGAUUAGCUAGUUGGCGGGGUAAAGGCCCACCAAGGCGACGAUCCGUAGCUGGUCUGAGAGGAUGAUCGGCCACACUGGAACUGAGACACGGUCCAGACUCCUACGGGAGGCAGCAGUGGGGAAUAUUGGACAAUGGGCGCAAGCCUGAUCGAGCAAUACCGCGUGGGUGAAGAAGGCCUUCGGGUUGUAAAGCCCUUUUGUUGGGAAAGAAAAGCAGCAGGUUAAUACACCGCUGUUCUGACGGUACCCAAAGAAUAAGCACCGGCUAACUUCGUG
rnacentral:rRNA from 1 species